ACGGCAGCACGGGAGCAAUCCUGGUGGCGAGUGGCGAACGGGUGAGUAAUGUAUCGGAACGUACCUUUCAGUGGGGGAUAACGUAGCGAAAGUUACGCUAAUACCGCAUAUUCUGUGAGCAGGAAAGCAGGGGAUCGCAAGACCUUGCGCUGAUUGAGCGGCCAAUAUCAGAUUAGCUAGUUGGUGAGGUAAAGGCUCACCAAGGCGACGAUCUGUAGCGGGUCUGAGAGGAUGAUCCGCCACACUGGAACUGAGACACGGUCCAGACUCCUACGGGAGGCAGCAGUGGGGAAUUUUGGACAAUGGGGGCAACCCUGAUCCAGCCAUGCCGCGUGAGUGAAGAAGGCCUUCGGGUUGUAAAGCUCUUUCAGCCGGGAAGAAAUCACAUGGGUUAAUACCCUGUGUGGAUGACGGUACCGGAAUAAGAAGCACCGGCUAACUAUGUGCCAGCAGCCGCGGUAAUACGUAGGGUGCGAGCGUUAAUCGGAAUUACUGGGCGUAAAGCGUGCGCAGGCGGUUUGUUAAGAUAGGCGUGAAAUCCCCGGGCUCAACCUGGGAACUGCGUUUAUGACUGGCAGGCUAGAGUAUGGCAGAGGGGGGUGGAAUUCCACGUGUAGCAGUGAAAUGCGUAGAGAUGUGGAGGAACACCGAUGGCGAAGGCAGCCCCCUGGGCCAAUACUGACGCUCAUGCACGAAAGCGUGGGUAGCAAACAGGAUUAGAUACCCUGGUAGUCCACGCCCUAAACGAUGUCAACUAGGUGUUGGGUGGGUAAAACCAUUUAGUACCGGAGCUAACGCGUGAAGUUGACCGCCUGGGGAGUAC
rnacentral:rRNA from 1 species